UGGGGAAUAUUGGACAAUGGGCGAAAGCCUGAUCCAGCCAUGCCGCGUGUGUGAAGAAGGUCUUCGGAUUGUAAAGCACUUUAAGUUGGGAGGAAGGGCAGUAAGCGAAUACCUUGCUGUUUUGACGUUACCGACAGAAUAAGCACCGGCUAACUCUGUGCCAGCAGCCGCGGUAAUACAGAGGGUGCAAGCGUUAAUCGGAAUUACUGGGCGUAAAGCGCGCGUAGGUGGUUCGUUAAGUUGAAUGUGAAAGCCCCGGGCUCAACCUGGGAACUGCAUCCAAAACUGGCGAGCUAGAGUAGGGCAGAGGGUGGUGGAAUUUCCGGUGUAUCGGUGAAAUGCGUAGAUAUAGGAAGGAACACCAGUGGCGAAGGCGACCCCCUGGGCUCAUACUGACACUGAGGUGCGAAAGCGUGGGGAGCAAACAGG
rnacentral:rRNA from 1 species